UACGUAGGGGUGCAAGCGUUAAUCGGAAUUACUGGGCGUAAAGCGUGCGCAGGCGGUUUUGUAAGUUUGUCGUGAAAUCCCCGGGCUCAACCUGGGAAUGGCGAUGAAGACUGCAAGGCUAGAGUUUGGCAGAGGGGGGGUAGAAUUCCACGUGUAGCAGUGAAAUGCGUAGAUAUGCGGAGGAACACCGAUGGCGAAGGCAGCCCCCCUGGGGCUAACACUGACGCUCAGGCACGAAAGCGUGGGGAGCAAACAGG
rnacentral:rRNA from 1 species